rnacentral:misc_RNA from 1 species
GCGAUCUAGACAAAACAAGUCCACCGUGGGCUUUGAAAAACGCUUUCCUUGAUAAAAUUUAAGCGUGUUAUAAGAGGAUGCCGGGGAAGGUUUUCCGGUUUAUCCCGGAGGGCUUGUAGCUCAGUUGGUUAGAGCGCGCGCUUGAUAAGCGUGAGGUCGGAGGUUCAAGUCCUCCCAGGCCCACCAGUUUAUCCAUUACUUUCAUAAGUGCUUUUAAAAAAUAAGUACUUCUAAAAAGAUUGCUUCUAAAAAGCUUAUCAAAAUUGGCAGGCUUAUUGCUUUUGUGUGAGUAAUCCAAAGUUAAAGCAAAUUAAUGGCAAAAAAACAGUUCAAAUGCUAAAUACUAAGGAGUCAAAAUUCCUUGCAAAGUGAUUUUUACAGCGUCCAUUUGGUUGAUAUAAAUUCCAAAUGCUCAUAGACGUCAAUGCCUAUAUGAAACUAUCGGUUCAAUCAUAUCGCUUUGAGUUAUAUAGAUUUUGUAAUCCCUCUUUUGAUCGUUUUAAACGCUUUAUUCUGAUUUAGGGGCCGUAGCUCAGCUGGGAGAGCACCUGCUUUGCAAGCA